GAUGAACGCUAGCUACAGGCUUAACACAUGCAAGUCGCGGGGCAGCAUGGGGGUUGCUUGCAAUCCCCGAUGGCGACCGGCGCACGGGUGAGUAACGCGUAUCCAACCUGCCCUUCACCACGGGAUAACCCGGCGAAAGUCGGACUAAUACCGUAUGUUGUCCAUUGACGGCAUCCGAUUUGGACGAACGGUUUGGCGGUGAAGGAUGGGGAUGCGUCCGAUUAGCUGGACGGCGGGGUGACGGCCCACCGUGGCGACGAUCGGUAGGGGUUCUGAGAGGAAGGUCCCCCACACUGGAACUGAGACACGGCCCAGACUCCUACGGGAGGCAGCAGUGAGGAAUAUUGGUCAAUGGGCGUAAGCCUGAACCAGCCAAGUAGCGUGCAGGAUGACGGCCCUAUGGGUUGUAAACUGCUUUUAUGCGGGGAUAAAGUGGCCCACGUGUGGGUUUUUGCAGGUACCGCAUGAAUAAGGACCGGCUAAUUCCGUG
rnacentral:rRNA from 1 species